rnacentral:rRNA from 1 species
CUGGACAAUACUGACGCUGAGAUGCGAAAGCGUGGGGAGCAAACAGGAUUAGAUACCUGGUAGUCCACGCUGUAAACGAUGUCGAUUUGGAGUUUGGGGGCAUGACCCUUGGGCUCCGGAGCUAACGCGUUAAAUCGACCGCUGGGGAGUACGGCCGCAAGGUUAAAACUCAAAUGAAUUGACGGGGGCCCGCACAAGCGGUGGAGCAUGUGGUUUAAUUCGAUGCAACGCGAAGAACCUUACCUGGUCUUGACAUCCAUAGAAUCUUUCAGAGAUGAGAGAGUGCCUUCGGGAGCUAUGAGACAGGUGCUGCAUGGCUGUCGUCAGCUCGUGUUGUGAAAUGUUGGGUUAAGUCCCGCAACGAGCGCAACCCCUAUCCUUUGUUGCCAGCACGUAAUGGUGGGAACUCAAAGGAGACUGCCGUUGAUAAAGCGGGGGAAGGUGGGGACGACGUCAAGUCAUCAUGGCCCUUACGACCAGGGCUACACACGUGCUACAAUGGCGUAUACAAAGGGAUGCGAAGGUGCGAACUGGAGCGGACCUCACAAAGUACGUCUAAGUCCGGAUUGGAGUCUGCAACUCGACUCCAUGAAGUCGGAAUCGCUAGUAAUCGUGAAUCAGAAUGUCACGGUGAAUACGUUCCCGGGCCUUGUACACACCGCCCGUCACACCAUGGGAGUGGGUUGCACCAGAAGUAGAUAGCUUAACCUUCGGGAGGGCGUUUACCACGGUGUGGUUCAUGACUGGGGUGAAGUCGUAACAAGGUAACCA